UACGUAGGGGGCAAGCGUUGUCCGGAUUUAUUGGGCGUAAAGAGCUCGUAGGUGGUUCGGUAAGUCGGAUGUGAAAUCUCCAGGCUCAACCUGGAGGGGUCAUUCGAUACUGCCGUGACUAGAGGUCGGUAGGGGAGUGUGGAAUUCCUGGUGGAGCGGUGAAAUGCGCAGAUAUCAGGAAGAACACCAAUGGCGAAGGCAGCUCUCUGGGACGGUACUGACGCUGAGACGCGAAGGCCAGGGGAGCAAAGCGGG
rnacentral:rRNA from 1 species